CACCACUCAAGCCUGGCUUGGUAUUGGGCGACGGGACGCACCCGCGCCUUAAUUUCUUCGGCUGGACGACCCGAUCCUCAGCGUUGUGGCAUUAAAUUCGCUGACGGAGGGGGCCGACCGCGCCGUUAAAACCUCUUAUCAAAGG
rnacentral:misc_RNA from 1 species